CUGAGUGUUUGUUACUGUCGCUACUAUGACAUCAUCAUGGCUACUGCCACCUGCUGUAUUGCCUCGGACCCGGAGCUCCUCGAAGAACAUGUAAAGCCCACGAAGUCCCACGGCCGUUUUAACCAGAAUUUGACUACUCAUCCUUCUGUGGUGAGACGGCUGCCCUCAGCUACUUGUCCGCCACAGGGUUUUCCUCGACCACAAUUUCGGCCACCUCCACAAACCUUAUGCUGCUGUUCCCUGGAGCAGAAUGUGUACCAGUCACAGCUUCCCCCUGAGCUCCAGCCCUUCCAAAGUGGGGGAACCAGGGGCAAAUGAAUAGUUGGUUUACAUCCAUGUUUUUAAAAGACUCCAUGCUCGUGCUGCACAAGCCGGGACUCCUGCUUGCCGCCCGGGCGAUGCCUCUGACUCUCUCUGCCUCUCACCUCUGGAGGUGAGCCACAAGGUCUGAGCCCAGUAAAUGAUUAAGCCCUUCUUUGUUCCCA